rnacentral:rRNA from 1 species
AUGAACGCUGGCGGCGUGCCUAAUACAUGCAAGUCGAGCUAACGGACGAGAAGCUUGCUUCUCUGAUGUUAGCGGCGGACGGGUGAGUAACACGUGGAUAACCUACCUAUAAGACUGGGAUAACUUCGGGAAACCGGAGCUAAUACCGGAUAAUAUUUUGAACCGCAUGGUUCAAAAGUGAAAGACGGUCUUGCUGUCACUUAUAGAUGGAUCCGCGCUGCAUUAGCUAGUUGGUAAGGUAACGGCUUACCAAGGCAACGAUGCAUAGCCGACCUGAGAGGGUGAUCGGCCACACUGGAACUGAGACACGGUCCAGACUCCUACGGGAGGCAGCAGUAGGGAAUCUUCCGCAAUGGGCGAAAGCCUGACGGAGCAACGCCGCGUGAGUGAUGAAGGUCUUCGGAUCGUAAAACUCUGUUAUUAGGGAAGAACAUAUGUGUAAGUAACUGUGCACAUCUUGACGGUACCUAAUCAGAAAGCCACGGCUAACUACGUG